ACUUUCAUCGAUAUCUUGUGCAACAGACAACGCAUAAGCAACAAGCUCAUCUUUAUCAUCAUGACGAAAUCUAGCUGGCUUUGUAAUAGCUCUUCUUGGACGAUCUCGAGCAAUUGAAUACUCUUGUUGUGGCGGCACAAUCUCAGUAGUAUUAUGAUCAUCAGAAUCAUCACCAAAAUGAUCAGUAGUGGAGGAAGUAGGAACAUCGAUAUUAGGAGGAGAUGUAGACUUUAUCUCUAACUCCACCUUCUUACUGUUACUUUGCUGAUCACCUGUAUCAGUAGAAGAAGAACCAGAAUCUUUUCCAAAAAAAAGUAAUGUAUUUUCACCAAAAGUAACAUCACGACUAAGAAUGACUUUACGUGACUCAGGAUCCAUAGACCACAAAUGAUAUCCUUUUGACUCAGCACCAUAACCAACAAAUAUGCAUUUUUUAGCUCCAAAAGAAGAACCAGAAUCUUUUCCAGAAAAAGGUAAUGUAUUUUCAUCAAAAGUAACAUCACGACUAAGAAUGACUCUACGUGACUCAGGAUCCAUAGACCACAAACGAUAUCCUUUUGACUCAGCACCAUAACCAAGAAAUAUGCAUUUUUUAGCUCUAGGUGCUAAUUUUCCAUCAUUAACAUGUGCAUAAACAGAACAUCCGAAAACUUGUAAAUUAGAGUAGUCAACAGGAAUACCUGACCAAACUUCUUCUGGAAUUCUGAAAUUAAGAGAUGAAUGUGGGGAGCGGUUGGCUAGAUAGCAUGCUGUAGAAACUGCCUCAAACCAAAGAUCACGUCGAUGCCAUAACCCAGCAUG
rnacentral:lncRNA from 1 species